UUACCGGCGUGAGUCACCGUGCCCAGCUAUUUUUUUUUUUUUAAUUAAAUAAAAAUCUGCUGCCUCUCCAAGCAGAAUCCUUUUGAAAGCAAAGGGCCCGUGGUUCAGCCUUCAGUUCACUCUUUUGUGCUUGGCACAGCACUUGGCAUUCUGUAGCAAAUACUCCUUUGGAAAGAGAGAUUAAGCAACUUGCCAAAACCAUUCAGGUAGUAAAUGAUAGACUCACAUUUUGAACACAUACCCUGCUCAUCACACCCUCUCAUGGAGUUCUCAUCAGCACCACGCUCAGUGCACCAGGUGAGUCCCCCUUCUUUUUUGAGGUCACCCCCACUCGGCUUCUGAACGUCCCAAACAGGGAAUUUUGUCCACUCCUACCCCCACGUUCAGUCUGCCCUCUCCCUAACAGACAGCAUCCUAAACCUGGUGAACUAAAUUUACUGGUAAAUGGCUAGUGGGCUAAUGGCACUUUGGUGAUUGUCCUUUGCUAAUUUUAUCGUUCUUAGGAAGUUGUUCUCAACCCCAGCACUUUCCAUUUGGGAGCUUUUUCAGAGGCCGGAAUCUCUCUAUUUACAACCAAAACGCCAGGGUGGCAGCGAGAGGGCGCGGUCCAGUUGUGGUACGCCCCUGGCCACUCUGCGGCACCGUUACCCCUACGCCCGAGCCACCGGCGCGCCCCGUUGUAGCCACUGGAGACACCACACGGUCUUUUAGGAAAGCGGGCCAUUAACCGGUGUUCAACAGAGAAACAUGGCCACCUCCCCACGGGCGGCUGCUGAUCUGCGGUGGAGACCUCGUCCCCCGCAGAGAGCGACCGAAAUCCCCUUGGGCCGCUGGGUCUUGCAUGGCUGGAUGCCUGGAUGCCGCCUGUCCAAGGCUUUAGCGACCGUGUCUCCCUUCAUGACCUUGGCCUCUGUGACAGGCAGGCCCAGCAGCUGCCCCAACAUCCCGGUCAGCUGGAGCCUGUUUUCCUGACAUGGGUUUUCUCUAAACUUCAUGUCAGAUUGGAAGCGCACUGCUGAGAAGUCCCACGAGAGGGCCCGGACAUCUCAGUACCCUGGCUCCAAGGUGGAGCGAAGCCUGGUUCCCCAUGAGAAAGUGAGCUGGCUGGCCGAGUGACGAGAGUAACGCCCCGAGAGUACACUGCCAGCUCUGUCUUGGACGGGCCCAUGUGGGCAGACCCUCAAGUAGGUGAAAGGAACUUCUCUCCUAAGUUUAACGAAAAGAAUGGGCAUGUGGAGAGAAGGAGCCAGCAUGGCUUGUAUGAGAUUGAGAAAGGUAGACUUAGAACUCCUGCAUGUGGGACAGGACUGGUUGGCCCAGGGCUUUUGGGGUGUUGAGGCCCCAAUCAUGCUGCAGAUCCCAUCUUAACCAGAUGGAAAAGGGAUAGCAAGGGAAACUAAAUUACCCACCCUAUUUCUGGGAAAAAUAUCCUGCAAUUUGUAGCCAUCAAAAGGAAGGACUGCGGAGAAUAGGCAAUCCCAGGGUGGGUGGUGGAUCCAGGAGAGAAAAUCAGUGCUACAUUGGAGAGAGAAUUUGGCUAGGAAGCCAUGAAGUCUUUAUAGAAAUCUAGGGAAGAAAUGCAGGAGUUGGAGAGACAAUUGCACAAAUUCUUCAGCCAGGAACAUUUUGUGGUCUAUAAAGGCUACGUGGACAAUUCUCGGAACACAGAUAACUCCUGGAUAGAGACAGAGGCUGUAAACUACCAUGAUGAAACCAGUGAAAUAAUGGACCAUCUUCCUCUGGAAGCUGGCAAUGAUGCCAAGAAAGUGAAAUGGGUGGAUAUUAAUGAUAAAUUUGAGCUUUAUGCCAGCCACUCCCAAUUUAUUCAACUUGUAUCUGAGAAACAAGGUGCCCACUGGAGUGAGGACAUGUAUCUUGAUUGCCAGGGAUAGUGGCUUGGAGUCUCGUGUGAGCCAAAGGCCUUCAGAUGAUCAAGAGUGGGUAAGAGGCAAACAGCACAUAACUCCCACUAAAUAGGACAGGGAAGGUCACCUCUUUGGUGAUUAAUUCCAAAACUGUGCUAUAUGAAGGCUUUGUAUUAGGGAAUAAUAUUAGACAAAUAUGGGGAAAUGGGAUCACAGAAGUUUUGGCUUUCCUGUUAGAAGAAUAUACUCACAUGCUGUAUAUAUUGUAUACAUGGUUUAAACUAACUUACACAACUACUGCUCUUUGGAGAAUUGUAAGAAAAACAAUGACAUCUUCCUUAACAACCAUAGCCUCUACUUUUCAGCCAGUUUGCAUUUGUCAAUUCUUCUUCCUCCUGAUGUUUUAAUGUGGCAUAAUCUAAUGUAUAAUCUGACUUUUGAGUUAACAUUUAUUUUUUAAAUUUAGCAUUAUGUGGUCUUGUUUUCCUUGCUUUUGAGUAUGGGAGCUUUCUGGCUUUUUUUUUUUUUUUUUUUUUAAGAGCUUCAGUUUUAUGGGAAAAGUUCAAUCUCUAUUUUGGUCCACAAGGAUCAAGUGCUUAUGAACCAGACCAAAAAAAAAAAAAAAAA